rnacentral:rRNA from 1 species
GGGAGUUUUUAACUCAAGUGGCGGACGGGUGAGUAACACGUAAGAAUUUACCUUUAGGAGGGGGAUAACAACUGGAAACGGUUGCUAAUACCCCAUAUGCUUUCGAGUGAAAUGGAUUUUUCCGCCUAAAGAGGAGCUUGCGGCUGAUUAGCUUGUUGGUGAGGUAAUGGCUCACCAAGGCGACGAUCAGUAUCUGGUUUGAGAGGACGAUCAGACACACUGGAACUGAGACACGGUCCAGACUCCUACGGGAGGCAGCAGUGGGGAAUUCUCCGCAAUGGGCGAAAGCCUGACGGAGCAAUACCGCGUGAGGGAUGACGGCCUAUGGGUUGUAAACCUCUUUUUUCAGGGAGGAAUCAAUGACGUGUACCUGAAGAAUAAGCAUCGGCUAACUCCGUGCCAGCAGCCGCGGUAAGACGGAGGAUGCAAGUGUUAUCCGGAAUCACUGGGCGUAAAGCGUCUGUAGGUGGUCUAGUAAGUCAACUGUUAAAUCUUGAGGCUCAACUUCAAAAUCGCAGUCGAAACUAUUAGACUAGAGUAUAGUAGGGGUAAAGGGAAUUUCCAGUGGAGCGGUGAAAUGCGUAGAGAUUGGAAAGAACACCGAUGGCGAAGGCACUUUACUGGGCUAUUACUGACACUGAGAGACGAAAGCUAGGGUAGCAAAUGGGAUUA